GCCGACGAGUCCUGAAUAGGACGAAACGCGCGUCC
rnacentral:hammerhead_ribozyme from 1 species